rnacentral:rRNA from 1 species
AUGGCGACCGAACAAUCCCGAUACGGCCACAGGAAGUUGAUGGUAAGCUACGGCGGGAAGCUCCAGCGCUUCUCCGAAGGCGGCGGACCGCAGUACAUCGGCGGCGAGCACCAGGUCGUGAGUGUCAGCCAGUCCAUCUCGCUGCAGGAGCUCCGCGACCGGCUAGCCACGGCCGUGGGCUGCUUCAACAUCGCUAUCCAGUACGUCCGCCCCGGCAAGCCCCUGGACGCGCUCCACGAUGUGGUGACCGCUGGCGACGUCCGGGACCUGCUAGACUGGGUGCUAUACCGGGACAUGCAUAUCAAACUGCUCCGCGCAAACCCAGCGGACGUCCCCCAAGUCCGGGUCUUCGUGGUCCGCGUGGAUGGGCGGCCGCCGCUCCCCGAGGCGCUCUUCACUCCCGCUCCAAGCACGCUGGUCGCGGCGCCCACCGAGGCGCCGGUGUCUCUGUCCUCGCUCAAACGGCGAACUCCUCUCUCCGGCCCUCAUCCAUCGGAGCGUAUCAGCGCCUUCCCUGUCGCCGCCGUCGACGGGGCACGACACAACGUCUUCGACUACGACGACAACUGCCAGAGCACCCUGUCGCCGCCGUCGACGGGGGACGACACAACGUCUUCGUCGAAGACUGCCGGAAGCACCUGUGCGACCCAAGAUGUCGCCCCCAACGCGGCAAUGCAGAGGAGUCUGGCGCGCCCUGCUCCGGUGUUCCUGGUGCCAGUAGCACCGGUCAUAGUGUACCAGCCGGUGAUCCCAGUGUACCAGGUGUUCGUCGUGCGUGAUUGUGCUGUUCACCGCCUCAAUCAGAUCAGGUGUCUACCAAUUAGCUAUGAUAUGGACAGUAUUACUAAAGCCGCAGUACAAGGAGCCAACCAAGCUUUGGCGUGA